rnacentral:lncRNA from 1 species
GGAGGCAAACACCGAGCUCCCCCUGAGCCGCCUGGGAGCAGGGAGGGUUCUGCUACCCUGAGGGGCCCUCCCCGCGGGGCAGAGGAGGCUGUUGGGAAGGUGGGAUGACCUAGGAUUGACCUUGGACUUGACAUCACAGAAGCCAUUUCAACCUUCACAGGGUUUCCUCAGCAGUGCCCCGGAGCAGGGACCGCGCCAGCCAGCAGAAACAGCUAGUUGUUGUCUGCAGUGAAGAAUAAUUGGAAGCAUGGUGCCUGUUUCUUUUCCUGUGGGAGGAAGUCACAGCAUCUACUUCUGAAUCUGUGCUUGCCUUGAGGAAAAACGGCAUGGCACAGGAAUGUGGACGCUUUCAACCAGAGGAUUCUGUACGACGGUGUCGGCACACAAGGAGUGUUCCACUGACUGACCUCUUUUUGUUUUCAAAUGAAGAGGAGCCAAGAAUAGGACAGCUUGGGAAGCUCAUCCUCGUCUACGGCCAAACGUUGGUUUCUCAUUUCUAGAAGAUGAAAGAUGUGAUGACUCAGGAAAAACUGGAAUCUUAGUAACUGUGGUGGGCAUUGAGCCUUGCCGUCCACAAGAGAAAGCUUGCUGCUCGAGAUGUGAGUCUUCAGAUGUUCCUGCCGCCAUAUCUGACAGCUGCUGCCAAGAUUCCCUGGUGGGAUGGACUCUUAUACCUCAACAACCAGAAGCCCAAGUAAACUCUUCUAUAAAUUGAA